AGAGUUUGAUCAUGGCUCAGGAUGAACGCUAGCGGCAGGCCUAACACAUGCAAGUCGAGGGGUAAGAAGAGCUUGCUCUUCCUAGACCGGCGUACGGGUGCGUAACGCGUGUACAAUCUACCUUUUACAGAGGGAUAACCUGAAGAAAUUUGGACUAAUACCUCAUAGAAUUACUUUAUGGCAUCAUAGGGUAAUUAAAGCUACGCUGGUAAAAGAUGAGUACGCGUUCUAUUAGCUAGUUGGAGUGGUAACGGCACCCCAAGGCUACGAUAGAUAGGGGUCCUGAGAGGGAGAUCCCCCACACUGGUACUGAGACAGGGACCAGACUCCUACGGGAGGCAGCAGUGAGGAAUAUUGGUCAAUGGUCGGAAGACUGAACCAGCCAUGCCGCGUGCAGGAAGACGGCCUUAUGGGUUGUAAACUGCUUUUGCAAGGGAAGAAUAAGCUCUACGAGUAGAGUGAUGACGGUACUUUGCGAAUAAGCAUCGGCUAACUCCGUGCCAGCAGCCGCGGUAAUACGGAGGAUGCGAGCGUUAUCCGGAAUCAUUGGGUCUAAAGGGUCUGUAGGCGGGUUGUUAAGUCAGGGGUGAAAGUUUGCGGCUUAACCGUAAAAUUGCCUUUGAUACUGGCUAUCUUGAAUUAUUGUGAAGUUGUUAGAAUGUGUAGUGUAGCGGUGAAAUGCAUAGAUAUUACACAGAAUACCGAUUGCGAAGGCAGAUGACUAACAAUAGAUUGACGCUGAGAGGCGAAAGCGUGGGGAGCGAACAGGAUUAGAUACCCUGGUAGUCCACGCCGUAAACGAUGGAUACUAGCUGUUUGGCAUUAUAGUUGAGUGGCUAAGCGAAAGUGAUAAGUAUCCCACCU
rnacentral:rRNA from 1 species